GUGUCAGCCGCCGCGGUAAGACGAACCGUGCGAACGUUGUUCGGAAUCACUGGGCUUAAAGGGCGCGUAGGCGGACUGCCGCGUCUGGGGUGAAAUCCUCCGGCUCAACCGGAGAAGUGCCUCGGAUACCGGCGGCCCCGAGGGAGGCAGGGGCGUGCGGAACUUCGGGUGGAGCGGUGAAAUGCGUAGAUAUCCGAAGGAACACCGGUGGCGAAAGCGGCGCGCUGGACCUCUUCUGACGCUGAGGCGCGAAAGCCAGGGGAGCAAACAGGAUUAGAUACCCCCGUAGUCC
rnacentral:rRNA from 1 species